AACCUUUACAAUGCACGCAAGUGUGAUAAGGGAAUCCCAAGUGCUCAAGCAUUGCUUGGGCUUUUGCUAUGUGUAAACAGCAUGGCGAAUAAGUGGUGGGAAAGACUGGUGCCAGCCGCCGCGGUAACACCAGCGCCACGAGUGGCAAUCACGUUUAUUGGGCCUAAAGCGUCCGUAGCAGGUUUCGUAAAUCUCUUGUGAAAUUGCCAAGCCUAACUUGGCAGACUGCAGGGGACACUGCGAGACUCGAGACCGGGAGGGGUUAGAAGUAUUCCUUAGGGAGCGGUAAAAUGCUAUAAUCUAAGGAGGACUACCUGUGGCGAAGGCGUCUAACUAGAACGGAUCUGACUGUGAGGGACGAAAGCUAGGGGAGCGAACCGGAUUAGAUACCCGAGUAGUCCUAGCCGUAAACGCUGUGAGCUAGGUGUCGCGUAUUCUACGUGAAUGCGCGGUGUCGAAAGGAAGCUAUUAAGCUCACCGCCUGGGAAGUACGGUCGCAAGACUGAAACUUUAAGGAAUUGGCGGGGGAGCAC
rnacentral:rRNA from 1 species